UCUCGUUUCUCUCCACUUCUGUCUCCCAAAAAUAACUGCUCCCUCCCCUCGCCCGCUCACCUCUCCCCAUGGCCGCGUCGUGUCCACCGCCGCCCCCACGCGACGCAGGCGGGGAUCUCCUCCCAAGUUCCCCUCUUCUCCCUCUUCACCAUCCCACACGAUAAGCGGGCAGCAGAGGACGAAAAUGGCGACCACCAUCUCUCUCCUCUCCCUCGCCCCGCUCCGACUCACCCACCGCUGCCUCCUCUCCCUCACCCCCGGCAGGCCUCACGUUUCCAUACGCUCGCCUCGAAGGACGCAGCCGCCUCAACCGUCUCCGGGCCCGGAGUGGGCGCGAGGAGUAGGCUGCUCUUGGUGCUCGACCGGGCGCUCAUGGACGAGGAGCAAGACUGCCGCGAGUGCGCCCAGGUGCAGCACAAGGGCAUCGAGGCGGACAUCCUGCUGCUUUCUCCACCCCCUCGCCGUCGCCUCUCCGGAACUUCCUCUAGCCUGGGGACAUCCUGCUGUUGUCUCCACCCCGUCCAGUCUUCGUCCGGCCUUCUUAUCUCCUCCCUCUCUUUGAGGGAUCUUUUACAAUGGAUGAUGCGUGAUAGCUUGGUGCUUUUUAUUAUGAUUUUGAAUGAAGGAGAGAAGUUGAACCAUUGGGAAGAGAAAAGCGGCCGCUAGGCCACCCCCUAGGAAGUGGAUGGACAAACUCGAUACGGUCUUUUCCUGCCCAUUCUGCAAUCAUGGGAGCAGCGCUGAAUGCCGGAUGAUAGUACCAUCUUCAUUGAUACGAAGAACCUGAUUAGUGAGGCUAAUUGUCAAAUCUGCCAGGAAAGCUUCAGCACCACUGCAAAGAAGUUCAACCUACCACAUUAUUUUCUUGUUAAUGUAUUUUAAUUAAGCUAUCUUAUCUUAAGUGAAUUAUUCUGCCGAGGGUCAAGAACAUGGCAGUGUAGCGACAUGGCCGGUGGCUUGCUGCUGUUGCGAGUGGGCUACCUAGAAGAUGAACAUGAAGAAUAUGGUGCCAGCAAUGGCAAAGGGGAAGGUAGGGAGUGGUAAAGUGAAAGAGAAAUAUUGAGGUGUGAAGUUAGUAUACGAGAUAUAGAUGCUCCACAACAUGUGUAUUGUUGCGUAACUCUUGGCUCUCUACAUCAGCCUUCAAUCACAUGAAGGUACACCCCGGUGCUGGUUUGUGAUCACAUCAGAUUUGAGGUGUAUUUAUAACAAUCACAUAAAUGGAAGGUUGCAGGACGAUUUUGGAAAUGUCAAUGGCGUUAACAAAGACAUCGGACAAGAGCUAUCAUAUAUUCUAAUUCAGACACAAGUGAUGAUACAACAAUGCUCUUCGCCAAAUUCUAAUUCAGGCGAGCAUAGCUUAGCUUGGGACCAUGCCCGUGCAACAGUUAUUGUCAUCUUCAUGCCCCAUAUAAGUUGCUUCUGUCAUGCAUAGAAGACAAAGACGCCAUCAACAGCAGCGACACACAUAGUGAGGUCAUUGCCUGACAGGAUUUUGCUUUGAGCUGCUUGGAGACAUCCAGCGUCGUUGUAUUCCUGCUUUAUUGCCCUGUUUUUACACUGAAAAUCUGAACAUAUGUAGUUGAUUUCCAAUAUUCGAUCGUACUGCAAUAUUUUUUGACUUGGUUAUUUGUACAUAGUACAAGCUUGAAUAUUGAAAAAAAAAUUGUGCAUUACUUUGUAUGUGCA